CAGAAAGACCCUAUGAAGCUUUACUGUACCCUGGAAUUGCUCUCAAGCUUGCUUUGCGCAGCUUAGGUGGGAGACGUUGAACUUCUUUUUCCGGAAAGGAGGGAGUCAUCAGUGAGAUACCACUCUUAGUAAGCUAGAGCGCUCAUUUCUAACCGUUAUCCGGUAGAAAGACAUUUUCAGGCGGGCAGUUUGACUGGGGCAGUCACCUCCCAAAAGGUAAUGGAGGUGUACAAAGGUUCGCUCAGGCUGGACGGAAAUCAGCCAUAGAGUGUAAAAGCAAAAGCGAGCUUGACUGCGAGACUGACAUGUCAAGCAGAGACGAAAGUCGGUUUUAGUGAUCCGACGGUGCUGAGUGGAAAGGCCGUCGCUCAACGGAUAAAAGUUACUCUAGGGAUAACAGGCUGA
rnacentral:rRNA from 1 species